GAUGAACGCUGGCGGCGUGCCUAAUACAUGCAAGUCGAGCGAAUGGAUUGAGAGCUUGCUCUUAUGAAGUUAGCGGCGGACGGGUGAGUAACACGUGGGUAACCUGCCCAUAAGACUGGGAUAACUCCGGGAAACCGGGGCUAAUACCGGAUAACAUUUUGAACCGCAUGGUUCGAAAUUGAAAGGCGGCUUCGGCUGUCACUUAUGGAUGGACCCGCGUCGCAUUAGCUAGUUGGUGAGGCAACGGCUCACCAAGGCAACGAUGCGUAGCCGACCUGAGAGGGUGAUCGGCCACACUGGGACUGAGACACGGCCCAGACUCCUACGGGAGGCAGCAGUAGGGAAUCUGCCGCAAUGGACGAAAGUCUGACGGAGCAACGCCGCGUGAGCGAUGAAGGCUUUCGGGUCGUAAAACUCUAUUGUUAGGGAAGAACAAGUGCUAGUUGAAUAAGCUGGCACCUUGACGGUACCUAACCAGAAAGCCACGGCUAACUACGUGCCAGCCGCCGCCGUAA
rnacentral:rRNA from 1 species